rnacentral:rRNA from 1 species
CCUACGGGUGGCAGCAGUGAGGAAUAUUGGUCAAUGGACGAGAGUCUGAACCAGCCAAGUAGCGUGAAGGAUGACUGCCCUAUGGGUUGUAAACUUCUUUUAUAUGGGAAUAAAACGUUCCACGUGUGGGAUUUUGUAUGUACCAUAUGAAUAAGGAUAGGCUAACUCCGUGCCAGCAGCCGCGGUAAUACGGAGGAUCCGAGCGUUAUCCGGUUUUAUUGGGUUUAAAGGGAGCGUAGGUGGAUUGUUAAGUCAGUUGUGAAAGUUUGCGGCGCAACCGUAAAAUUGCAGUUGAAACUGGCAGUCUUGAGUACAGUAGAGGUGGGCGGAAUUCGUGGUGUAGCGGUGAAAUGCUUAGAUAUCACGAAGAACUCCGAUUGCGAAGGCAGUUCACUGGACUGCAACUGACACUGAGGCUCGAAAGUGUGGGUAUCAAACAGGAUUAGAUACCCUAGUAGUC